UACAGAGGUCUCGAGCGUUGUUCGGAUUCAUUGGGCGUAAAGGGUGCGUAGGUGGCAAGGUAAGUCGGAUGUGAAAUCCCCCGGCUCAACCGGGGAACGGCUGGGUAUACUGGCGGCCUUGAGAGGCCUAGGGGCAAGCGGAACAAGCGGUGGAGCGGUGAAAUGCGUAGAUAUCGCUUGGAACGCCGACGGUGAAAACAGCUCGCUGGGGGCCAUCUGACGCUGAGACACGAAAGCCAGGGGAGCGAACGGG
rnacentral:rRNA from 1 species